AGUGAACGCUGGCGGUAGGCCUAACACAUGCAAGUCGAACGGCAGCACAGUAAGAGCUUGCUCUUACGGGUGGCGAGUGGCGGACGGGUGAGUAAUACAUCGGAAUCUACUUUUUCGUGGGGGAUAACGUAGGGAAACUUACGCUAAUACCGCAUACGACCUACGGGUGAAAGCAGGGGAUCUUCGGACCUUGCGCGAUUGAAUGAGCCGAUGUCGGAUUAGCUAGUUGGCGGGGUAAAGGCCCACCAAGUCGACGAUCCGUAGCUGGUCUGAGAGGAUGAUCGGCCAACCUGGAACUGGGACCCGGUCCAGCCUCCUACGGGAGGAAGCAGUGGGGAAUUUUGGACAAGGGGCGCAAGCCUGAUCCAGCCAUACCGCGUGGGUGAAGAAGGCCUUCGGGUUGUAAAGCCCUUUUGUUGGGAAAGAAAAGCAGCAGGUUAAUACCCCGCUGUUCUGACGGUACCCAAAGAAUAAGCACCGGCUAACUUCGU
rnacentral:rRNA from 1 species